rnacentral:rRNA from 1 species
UACGUAGGUGGCAAGCGUUGUCCGGAUUUAUUGGGUUUAAAGGGUGCGUAGGCGGUUUCAUAAGUCAGUGGUGAAAUACGGCAGCUCAACUGUCGAGGUGCCAUUGAUACUGUGAGACUUGAGUACAGACGAGGUAGGCGGAAUUGACGGUGUAGCGGUGAAAUGCUUAGAUAUCGUCAAGAACACCGAUAGCGAAGGCAGCUUACUAGGCUGUAACUGACGCUGAGGCACGAAAGCCAGGGGAGCGAACGGG